rnacentral:lncRNA from 1 species
ACACACACACACCAAUGAGCUGAUAUAAAUAAAGAGAACUGGAUGGCUGUUUAGGUUUAUAUAAGGGAAAACCUACUAAUUCUGUGAUAUCUGAGUCAUUGGAUAUCAAAGAACCUUUAUGAAGCAUAAAUAUUUGGGAGGAUGGAAUUAGUAUGAAGGCUACUUGUCCCUCUUAUAAUGAGGUUGUGGGCCGAAAAUGCACAGCCCCCCACAUCAUUUCCUUAGAAAAAGGCAUUCAUCAUUAAGUAUUUGGGCCAUUUCCAUCUCCUUCUGCCUUGUCUUUGUGCUUGAAACAAGCUCUCUCAAAAUAUGGAGUAUUGGGCUAUCUAAUAUUCUUGAGUCCCAUUACUGCAUCUGUCUAAGGGUAGCUGCAUUCCCCAGCUACUGCAGUAAUCCGUGGCCAACUUGAAGGUAGAAAAAGCACUUGUGUAGGUUUCUUUCUUAGCAUAUGUAUUCAGUUGUUCCAAAUCCCAUGUAGUAGACCAGAGGACCAUUCAAGUUUUACUAAGACUGAAAUCCUUUAUUUCAACUUCUGUGAACUUAUGCAAAGGACAAGAAAAUAAUCAUAAAUUUUUGGGUUUUGCAGGACAUUGAGAGGGAGAGGAGGAGAAGGGAGAACCCUGAGGCAAUGGAAGAGGAUGUUGAUGAAGAAGUGGCAGAGAUCAAGGCUGCUCAUUUUGAAGAAUCAAUGAAGUAUGCUAGGAGGAGUGUCAGUGAUGCUGACAUUCGUAAAUACCAGGCAUUUGCACAGACAUUGCAGCAAUCCAG